GAUAUACUCCCUUUGUCCGAAAAUACUUGUCAUCAAAAUGGAUAAAGAAGAAUGUAUCAAGAACUAAAAUAUGUCUUGAUACAUCUUUAUUUAUUUAUUUUGAUGACAAGUAUUUCCGAACGGACGAAGUACAUA
rfam:Triticum urartu cultivar G1812 contig372254, whole genome shotgun sequence.